CCACAACUCUCAAAAUCGGCAAAACCAAAGUAGCGGUACCACUGACGGCGCCACCUUUGUUCGCUGCACCGUACACCAGUACACAUAGGUUUAAGACUAGAAUAUUCUGUACCUACCCUUACACGCUGAGUCCUACCUUCUAGGUAGCUGCUCAUCAAUCGUACAGCAGACUCCCCGAAGCCAAAGUUAUUACGUAAUUUUAUGCAAAGUAGUCUAUGGUUGACCGAGUCGAAGGCUUUAGAGAAGUCUAGCAAGCAUAACAAAGUUAAUUGGACUGUACACGAAGGUUUUUUAGAUUACGCCACAAAACAUUAUUCGGAUGGGGUGGGUUUAACAUUUUACCAAAGAACUUGCGCUUUUCACACUUAAUAAGAGCAGUUGUCUUAUUUCGUACAGACUUAUAGGCUUGCCAGUUGAUAUCGGUUCGGUUCUUCUUCCAAAUAGAGUACGAUUUGUUACGUUUUAUAAUCAUAGACCGAACGACUUUGUUGAACCAAAAGCACGACGGUGAUCGAUUGAGAUGAAAAUCUCAACUUUUCAUUCACAGAGCUUAGGCUCCAACAACCACUCCAAUCAAUGCGGGAUAAGUCAGCAGAUAGACUAUCAAUAUUUAUCAGACGAUAGUCAGGAAAGUUAUGUAGACUAGCUGCUACAUUAUGACUAAAACUGGUGUCAAAUGCACAGAGAAUUAGAUUGCGAUCAAAAAUAAACGACAUCUGGCCAAAUUUUAACACAGUAGACGGAUCAGAAACAAUGAAGUAAUCAAACAGACAAGGACAACAGUUAUUUCCGUACCUUAUAAUAUCAUCAUAAUCGACAGCUAUAACAGACAAUAUAUUAAAAAACGCAUUCACGCUACAACACUUGUGAGGGUUAUACACACACGACAAAAGGACCUUUGAUGAAGAAUUAGAUACCUCAACUAGCAAAUACUCAGUGGUAUUACCAACCGAUUGCGAAACUAGGCGAGUUUUUAGAUAUUUCUUGCAAUACAUCGCCACUCCACCACUCUUCUUAUCUAAUCUGUCGGCCCGAACUAGCUUAUAAUUAUUAAUGGAAAAGUGUGAAUCACAUAUACCAGCCCUAAAUCACGUCUCCGACACACAAAUAACAUCAAUACACGAAUAUUCAAAAGUCCUCCUAACAACAUCCAUCUUCUCAUUGUUUAAACUGCGUGCAUUAAAAUGAACCACAUUAAAGCCUUUCUGUCGGCUGCAUAAAAUAUUAAGUACUGCAAGGCUAUUUAAUUUAUUCGUCAUAACAGUUAGGAAAAGCAAAAACAAAAACAACUUUAAGAUAGUGAAGAAAUGACGAAAAACAGAAACAAGAAAAGCGCUAUCUUUAAUAAAUAUAAAAUACAACAAAAAAUAUCUGAAAAUAUAUGCAUAACUAUACAUCUAACGAAACGGCAGCAGGUCAUCAUCGCUGAUUAAUCUUGUUGAUAUGCUAUUAUUAUUUUCAUCUCUCACAUGCACAAAACCUCUAAAUGUAUACACCUUUAGCAGUUUUCUUUCACGACGCAGUUUUAUGGCCUCUUGCAGUAAACGUCUAUUCUCCUUGGUGAGGCCCUCAAAAAUAUGAAAGCUGCCAGCAAUGCCAAGGGGGUGAAGGGGGGGACCGCCGAUUUAGUUUUCUUGCGAUAUUCGCCAAAGGCGCGUAAAGUGCGGCUACGAUCGAGAGGGGAGUGAAAUUUAAUCACAAUUGCACUGUCGAGUUUUUCACUUGACGAUUUUGUGCGGAAAAUAUCCCUAAUUUGAGGAGCCUAGAAGUCAAUAGAAAGACAAACUUGGUUAAAAAUACUCUUAAGGUUUUCCCCUUCUUUGAAUGGUACACCAAAAGCAUUACACUUUCUAACUCCUUCUUAAUGCAACCACCUAGGGAUGC